UUGAAAGGGAAACGAUUGAAGUCAGUCGUAUCGACGAGAAAUCAACUUUUCGAGUGCGAAUUUGUGGGCGUGCGUGAGCUGUUAAAGGCCUCGCUGUUUGCAAUUAGUGCUUUUUGGGUGUACUUUCCGUAUGGUAGGUCAACAUCGAGUUUGAUCGUCAUAAAAUGAUCGGAGGAAUGUGGCUCUGAUCUCGUAUCGGAGUGUUAUAGCCUUUGGUAGAUGUGACGAUUGGGAUCGAGGAUUGCAACGAAUACCCUUUUGGGCUAUCCGUCUGACCUCUGAAAGUCGCUCGGGUGUUGAAAGCGUGCUUAUGACAUUCUAGUUGGCGGUCAAAAGGUUAGAACGUGAUUACAUUCGUUAAGGAUGUUGACGUA
rnacentral:rRNA from 1 species